rnacentral:rRNA from 1 species
GACGAACGCUGGCGGCGUGCCUAAUACAUGCAAGUAGAACGCUGAAGGAGGAGCUUGCUUCUCUGGAUGAGUUGCGAACGGGUGAGUAACGCGUAGGUAACCUGCCUGGUAGCGGGGGAUAACUAUUGGAAACGAUAGCUAAUACCGCAUAAUAGCAGUUGUUGCAUGAUAACUGUUUGAAAGGUGCAAUUGCACCACUACCAGAUGGACCUGCGUUGUAUUAGCUAGUUGGUGGGGUAACGGCUCACCAAGGCGACGAUACAUAGCCGACCUGAGAGGGUGAUCGGCCACACUGGGACUGAGACACGGCCCAGACUCCUACGGGAGGCAGCAGUAGGGAAUCUUCGGCAAUGGACGGAAGUCAGACCGAGCAACGCCGCGUGAGUGAAGAAGGUUUUCGGAUCGUAAAGCUCUGUUGUAAGAGAAGAACGAGUGUGAGAGUGGAAAGUUCACACUGUGACGGUAUCUUACCAGAAAGGGACGGCUAACUACGUG